AUGGCAUGCUUUCGGAGUCGUUCAAGAGCUGCGGCCGUGGUCGUUGUCACCAUGCUCCUGCUCCAAGCUUGCAGUGAAGUUUCAGCAUCUUCCUCGCCGCAGUUCCGCAAGAUGUUGGUCAGCGUCAAUGCAUCUUCCAUGUCAUCGAGCGGCGGCGGAGGCCACUCGGCGGAGCCGUUGGAGCUGGAGGAGUGCUCGAAGGACCUCCUGGAGGUUUUUCAGAACAACGCGCCGAGCAUGGCCGGCGGCAUGCCGACCUACAGCGUCGAGAUCACCAACACCUGCAUCGACUGCGCCGUGUGCGACGUCCACAUCGCAUGCGGCGACUUCGCCUCAAAUGACGUCAUCGACCCAGACAAGUUCCGCCGCCUCGGUUUCAACGACUGCCUCGUCAAUGGCGGCGGGUCCAUCGAGCCCAGCUUCCCUGUGUCGUUCCAGUACGGCAACUCCUUUCCCUACCCGAUGACAGUCGCGUCCGCCUCCUGUGACUGUAACUAG
rnacentral:rRNA from 1 species